CGCAAACCUUUAUAGGUUUAAGGGUUGUUUUAAUUAAACAAGUGAAACUCUAGUGUAAAUAGCUAUUAGUUUGGAAAUCAUGCAGGAAAGCAUGAUAUUUAGUGAUGUUUUCUAAACAAAUGACCUCAUUUCCCGAGAGUGCAACAGUGGCCACCCACUUUUAUUUUAGCAGCCUUGGUUUUAAAAAGUAUUUUUCCAAUUAGUUGUUUUUUCAUAGGGGGUUCAGAAAGUUUUUGGUUGAGAGUCAUAAGCCAAGAACCCAACCACACAGCUACAAGAGAUCAAGAUAAGGCACCGUCCUACACAAAAGUGCAUAUGGGUCGCAUGAAUAAUGGAUAUGUGGCUUGAACUCCCGCUGAACUCCCACAGCUUUGUCAAAUGGAGAUCUACAGCAAACCUGCACACCCAUUAAUACAUAUCCUUCAUUGUGCUGUUGUGGCCGUUCAUUCAUGCGUUCUGUGUGUCUGUCACAGCUCUGGGUGCGGCCGAUCGGCUGACACACUCAAACAAGGUACGCUUUGUUCAACCCCGUGGUGUUUGUGGUCGUGUACAUCUAAUGAGGUUAGAUAAACCCUCUACACUGACCUGAGACCUGGGAGAAAGGUGACUGGAGUUAAUGUGUAACACAGGUUUACG
ensembl:lncRNA